rnacentral:rRNA from 1 species
UAGGUGUAGGAGGUAUCGACCCCUUCUGUGCCGGAGUUAACGCAAUAAGUACCCCGCCUGGGGAGUACGACCGCAAGGUUGAAACUCAAAGGAAUUGACGGGGGCCCGCACAAGCGGUGGAGUAUGUGGUUUAAUUCGACGCAACGCGAAGAACCUUACCAGGUCUUGACAUUGAUGGACAGAACCAGAGAUGGUUCCUCUUCUUCGGAAGCCAGAAAACAGGUGGUGCACGGUUGUCGUCAGCUCGUGUCGUGAGAUGUUGGGUUAAGUCCCGCAACGAGCGCAACCCCUAUCUUAUGUUGCCAGCACUUUGGGUGGGGACUCAUGAGAGACUGCCGCAGACAAUGCGGAGGAAGGCGGGGAUGACGUCAAAUCAUCAUGCCCCUUAUGACCUGGGCUACACACGUACUACAAUGGGAGUUAAUAGACGGAAGCGAGAUCGCGAGAUGGAGCAAACCCGAGAAACACUCUCUCAGUUCGGAUCGUAGGCUGCAACUCGCCUACGUGAAGUCGGAAUCGCUAGUAAUCGCAGGUCAGCAUACUGCGGUGAAUACGUUCCCGGGCCUUGUACACACCGCCCGUCACACCACGAAAGUCGGAAGUGCCCAAA